rnacentral:lncRNA from 1 species
AUUUAAUUCUGUUGGUAAAUACACAUAACAUUCAUGUAAGUAACCUUUAUCCCUGCCUAUGCCUAUGCCUUUGUAUGCUGUUCCAACUGGCGUAAUAUCAAUUAGUGGCACUCAUGCGAUUGAUGGAUGCAUAAAUUACAACAUUACGCUGGGGCAGCAGCGGUGUGCCAUACAAAUUACGUGCAACAUGCAAUAUGACAGUCGACAGUGUUCGAAACAGCCAUCGCUCACCCGCUCCACUCCACUCCACUCCAAUCCCUUCCCUUACCUGCCCUUCCGUUGCGACAGUAGCGGGUGCUCCCCUCUUCAAAGACAACCCCGACCGCAUAAUUUUUCCUCAAAGCCCAAGAGGAAAUGUCCCCGCUAAAGUUGCGGCUGUGUUUCCUCAAAGUUUCCUCCUACACAGCCACAGGCCACGCUUCGCCUUCGCCUUCUCCUUCGCAGUUCUUUGGCAGAAAAAUUUAUCAUUUCUGCGGCGUCUUGGCAGGAGUUGCGAGUCUCAGGACGCUCUGAAAAUUGACUUAAAGUCCAUUAAAGCGAAGCACUUUUUAAUGUUAUUAAGUCAAGGAUGAUUUGUUCAGCGUAAACCGAUUUGCUCUUGCGGUAAGCCACCUCAAUGGCCAUGGCCAUUGGGCGGCCUCGCUCUCAGCCGGACUCUAUGGAAUAUUCAAUUGAAUAUAAAGCCAGAGCCGCACGAUAUUCCACAAAUUUGUUUCACCGACAAAUCUAUCCGCAGCGCUUGAUAGAGUCGCUGGAAAAAAUUGCAUUUUGCAUUGACACAUCAGCGUAAACAAAUUAACUUUAGGGCCCUCAACACUCGACACAAAACAAAAAGAGACUGAAAAAGCCAGCGACAAGUGACAGGAAAGAGUCACUUUAGGCGUGAAUGCAGCACCGCAUCAUCGAUG